UCCUCUUCCUCAUGUUCUUCCUCUUCUUCCUUGCUUCACGCUCUUCCCCGCUUACUCUUCUUCGCAUCUUCUUCCUCCUUGUUCGUUGAACCCCAUCAUCUUGUUCUUCCUCAAAUCCCAUUAUCUUCCUCUGCCUCAAACCCAUCAUCCUUUGUUGAUGGAAAGCAGUGGGUAUUCGCAUAGCACUGGUUCUGGGCUCAAUAGACGUCGUGUUCGUUGUGAAUGCGACUUAGAUCCUCCAUUGGUCACUGCCUGGACUGACAAUAAUGUUUGCAGAAGGAUUUUUGGUUGUGGGAACUAUAAGGACUCAGGGAGGUAGGGGUGUAAUUUCUUUGAAUGGUAUGAUCCACCAUUGAAUCCUCGUGUGAAGAAAAUUAUUGUUGGGUUGAUGAGGAAACUGGAAGAGCUCAAGAAUAUUGAGAAUGAACUCAGGACAAAGCAUAUUGAGUUGUAAAAGAGAAAAAAAAUUGUUGAUCAAUGGGAUUAUUGUGUCUUGGGUUUUUACAUUGUUAGUGGUUGUGUUGGUUGUUAGUAAGGUGUAAUCAUGUAGUGUUGUAUUAGUUAAUAGUUAUCCUAUUUGAUGUAAGUUUGGUGUAGGACUGGAAUGAUUGUAUGCAUCAAUCUAUUUGGUAUCAAUGAAAAAUGAAUCCUUUAUUUGGUAUCAA